GAAUGAAAGUUAGAUAUACUUUGUGACUUCCACGAGACACUGACCAUCACACAGGCUGUGAUUUUUAUCAGUGCAAGACGCAAGGUGAGCAGGCUCACUGAGAAAACGCACACCAGGGACUUCACAGUUCCUGCUCUGCAUGAUGAUAUGGACUAGAAGGAAAAAGAUGUUAGCAUGAGGGAUUUCUGAUCAGGGUCAAGCUGUGUUCUGAUCACUAAUGACUUGUCGGCUUGUGGGAUGGAGGAGCAAUGAGUGUCUUUGGUUACAAACUGUGAUCUACCUACCAAUUGUGAAAACUAUAUUCACAGGUUGGCAGAGGGGGUCGACUUGGGAAGAAAGGUGUGGAUAUAAACUGUUACUGAAGAAGACAAAUAGAUUGUUCAUGACACUGAGACUUUCUACGAUACCAUAGCGGAAGAGAUGCCCAUGCAUGUGGCUGACCUUAUUUCAUUCCGAAGUGAGAUAGUUUUGGAUGCAGUGCUCGUUGUUGCUGAAUAAG
rnacentral:lncRNA from 1 species